CACUGUGAACGGUGGAUCACUUGGCUCGUACGUCGAUGAAAAACGAGGCGAGACUCGAAAGUUUAUGUGAAUUGCAGCCACGUUGAACAUAGAAAUUUUGAACGCACAUUGCGGUGUUGAGUUGACUCGACGCCGCGUCUGUCUGAGGGUCG
rfam:Trichinella papuae scaffold186s, whole genome shotgun sequence.